GGCUUAGGACGAACGCUGGCGGCGUGCCUAACACAUGCAAGUCGAACGGACGAGAGGGAGCUUGCUCCCUCAAGUUAGUGGCGGACGGGUGAGUAACGCGUGAGUAACCUGCCUUUCAGAGGGGAAUAACAUUCUGAAAAGGAUGCUAAUACCGCAUGACAUCGUAGUAUCGCAUGGUACAGCGAUCAAAGGAGCAAUCCGCUGAAAGAUGGACUCGCGUCCGAUUAGCUAGUUGGCGGGAUAAAGGCCCACCAAGGCGACGAUCGGUAGCCGGACUGAGAGGUUGAUCGGCCACAUUGGGACUGAGACACGGCCCAGACUCCUACGGGAGGCAGCAGUGGGGGAUAUUGCACAAUGGGGGAAACCCUGAUGCAGCAACGCCGCGUGAAGGAAGAAGGUCUUCGGAUUGUAAACUUCUGUCCUCAGGGAAGAUAAUGACGGUACCUGAGGAGGAAGCUCCGGCUAACUACGUGCCAGCAGCCGCGGUAAUACGUAGGGAGCGAGCGUUGUCCGGAUUUACUGGGUGUAAAGGGUGCGUAGGCGGAUCUGCAAGUCAGUAGUGAAAUCCCAGGGCUUAACCCUGGAACUGCUAUUGAAACUGUGGGUCUUGAGUGAGGUAGAGGCAGGCG
rnacentral:rRNA from 1 species